UCCACUUCCAAAGUACAUCACACUUUCUCUCUCUUGCUCUUGAAAAGCGACGCGCGGUUUCUGGCCUUUUCGAAAGCCCUGGUUCUUCAAAUUCCAGAAAUUCGUCCCAAGAUUAGUAUUUCAAUUGACUUGUCUGCAAUCAUCAAGUUCAAUAGCGAUCAUCAAGUUCAAAAUUGAAGGUUGAAUUUGCUGCGAAAUGCCUAAAGACAAGGUCAAGAGUUGCGAGUUCAAUCGAAAUUAAUUUCUAGGAGGUUAUGGGAGCAGCGCCCUCGUGAUGGACAGAAACAACCUCCUCUUAGUAAACAUGUCGCCGAUAAUCAAUAAGGCUGUUGAUCCGAUUCUGUUUAAGUUUGAAGUAGUUCCGACUAUACUGGAAUGGACACCUGGAAACUUAACAAGCCCUGGUGAUGACCCGAACACAGAUUGUCAGGGUUCUGCAGAUGAAUAUGAUUGUUACUGUAAUUAUGGAACUUCAGGGAAUCCUUAUCUUCCUUAUGGAUUCCAAGGUUCUGCAGCUGCUCCUGUUUGUUCAGUUCUAUUUUGUUCUU